rnacentral:rRNA from 1 species
UACCAGCACCCCGAGUGGUCGGGACGAUUAUUGGGCCUAAAGCAUCCGUAGCCGGUCAUGCAAGUCUUCCGUUAAAUCCAGCCGCUCAACGGUUGGGCUGCGGAGGAUACUACGUGGCUAGGAGGCGGGAGAGGCAAGCGGUACUCAGUGGGUAGGGGUAAAAUCCUUUGAUCCAUUGAAGACCACCAGUGGCGAAGGCGGCUUGCCAGAACGCGAUCGACGGUGAGGGAUGAAAGCUGGGGGAGCAAACCGG